rnacentral:tRNA from 1 species
CGGGGCGUAAUUCAGAUGGCUAGAAUGUACGCAUGGGGUGCGUAAUGUCGGCGGUUCAAGUCCGCCCGCCCCGA